rnacentral:rRNA from 1 species
AACUGGCAGACUAGAGUCUUGGAGAGGGGAGUGGAAUUCCAGGUGUAGCGGUGAAAUGCGUAGAGAUCUGGAGGAACAUCAAUGGCGAAGGCAACUCCCUGGCCAAAGACUGACGCUCAUGUGCGAAAGUGUGGGUAGCGAACAGGAUUAGAUACCCCGGUAGUCUUAGCUGUAAACGAUGAGCACUUGAUUGGAGGGUCCUCCAUAGCCUUCCAGUCGUAGCGAAAGUGUUAAGUGCUCCGCCUGGGGAGUAUGGUCGCAAGGCUGAAACUCAAAGAAAUUGACGGGGGCUCACACAAGUGGUGGAGGAUGUGGCUUAAUUCGAGGCUACGCGAAGAACCUUAUCCUAGUCUUGACAUGUAUGGAUUAACCCUGUGAAAGCAGGGCCACGCCUUCGGGUGGAACAUACACAGGUGCUGCAUGGCU